UCUGUUGGUUGAUCCGGGUGACCAUGAACGGAGACAGACAGUUAUGAAAGCCCCAAAGUUAGGAUUCCCACCUGCUUUUCAUUUUUAGGGAGAAAAACGGUUAUCCAAAAUUAAGCCAUGGACGAACUGCAUUUCCCAUCUUUGCAGCUUGAAUGAAACAAAUCAUGAGAUUCAGCUGAAGAACAUCUCCUACUGAGAAGCCUCUCCUGAUGGACUCUUCCCCAAUUCCUGAUUUUUUCCAUUCCUCUCUCCAUAACAGAGAGGCUCCUCCUCCAUGCUGCCAUGGUCACCUUGUUAACAUCCAUCAGUGGACACCAUAAAA
rnacentral:lncRNA from 1 species